AAAAGUAAAUUUCCGGGGUAUAAACCCUCUCUCAACCAUCUCAAGCAAUAGUUUACCAGCGACCACCAUAUCUUCUGAUCUUUUUCUCACAAACAUUCCACUUAUCAGUAUGUUGUAAGUAUCUAGAUUUGGCAAGCAAUCACCACUCCCCAUUUUCUCAAACAAACCCAACGCUUUCUCGACCUCGCUGCAUUCCGAAUAAUAACGGAUCAUCAUGUUAUAUGUCUGGAAGUUUGGUUCACAGCCUUCAUUCUCCAUUCUCUGCAUCAACUCCUCUCCACGACUAAACUCUCCAGCGUGAAACAACCCUCUUAUCAACACAUUAUAAGUCGUCACAUUCGGCUCAUAACCUCUCCUCACCAUUUCCUCAAACAUCACAACCGCAUUCUCCACAUUAUCUUUCUUACACAAAACUUGAAUCAUAGCAUUGUACGUCGCAACAGAAGGAAGCACACCUUCUCUAAUCAUCUCAUCGAAAACAUUCCUCGCCCGCUUUAUCUCCCCCGCAACACCAAACCCGUGAACCACAGUAGUAUAAGUGACAACAUCUAUUUCACAAUCCCGUUUCUUCAUCUCCAAGAAGAAUUCCCAAGCAUGUCUAAUCUGCCCAGCUCUGAA